rnacentral:rRNA from 1 species
GAUGAACGCUGGCGGCGUGCCUAAUACAUGCAAGUCGAGCGAAUGGAUUAAGAGCUUGCUCUUAUGAAGUUAGCGGCGGACGGGUGAGUAACACGUGGGUAACCUGCCCAUAAGACUGGGAUAACUCCGGGAAACCGGGGCUAAUACCGGAUAACAUCUUGAACCGCAUGGUUCGAAAUUGAAAGGCGGCUUCGGCUGUCAAUUAUGGAUGGACCAGCGUCGCAUUAGCUAGUUGGUGAGGUAACGGCUCACCAAGGCAACGAUGCGUAGCCGACCUGAGAGGGUGAUCGGCCACACUGGGACUGAGACACGGCCCAGACUCCUACGGGAGGCAGCAGUAGGGAAUCUUCCGCAAUGGACGAAAGUCUGACGGAGCAACGCCGCGUGAGUGAUGAAGGCUUUCGGGUCGUAAAACUCUGUUGUUAGGGAAGAACAAGUGCUAGUUGAAUAAGCUGGCACCUUGACGGUACCUAACCAGAAAGCCACGGCUAACUACGUGCCAGCCGCCGCAGUAA